AACAUGGGGGCACGUGGGAGAGGCCAAGCUACACACUGAGCCAGCUGCCACCGGGAAUGGGCCUGAGGCAGGUCAGCAAAAGGCCGAAGGCACCUGGAGACCUGCCACAGCCUGCCAGCAGCUUGUUAGGCUCAGCCACUGAAAGGGCCUCAGGCAGUUCGCAGUUGCAAGAGGGUAGGGGUCUCAGGCAGUCACCAGCUUAACAGCUCUGGCUAGAACCUCCACUACAAAAUUGAAUAAAACUGGCAAGAGUGGACAUUCUUACCUUGUUCCUGAUUUUCGGAGAAAGAGUGAAAAAAAGAGGGAAAGACAGAGAGAAUAUCAGUGUGAGAGAAACACAUUGAUUGGCUGCCUGCUGCCCAGAGCCCGUGCUGGGGAGGAGCCUGCAACCGAGGUAUGU